GUAGCAACUAAUCGGUGGCGGAUACUGUGAAGUUUUGUCGUAAAUUAUUGAUCUUUCCAACAUCCCGAAACUCGGGAAAGCGAGACGAAUUCUCUCCGCUUCAAACAAGUCCAACUCAGAAGACAAGAGGAGCUGCGUCCAUGGCGUCUGCAAAUCUUCACCUUCCGGCCAAUCUCAAUCUCUCCCCACUUCCAAAAAGCUAUCCUCGCAGAAUCCACAGAGCCCAAUUCCCUCUAUCGCGGCCUAGGAGCAUCUCCCGCCAACUGUCAUUGAAGUUCUUCUCCUCAAGUCUCCCUACUUCGCCAAGAACACCAUUCAAGGGUGUUUGCUCUGCUGCUUACGUAUCGGCUCCAGCUUCUGAACCCAGUGUAAGCGAAAAUAAUCCCAAACUUGAGGGUUUGAACUCGCCGCCUGCAUAUGCUCAGUCUUCGACUACUAUAAGUUGGAGUCUUGUUUGGAGUCUUUUGCUUCGCCACAAGUUAAGGGUUGCUGUUUCAAUUGUCACACUUAUAGGUUGCACAUCUUGUACUCUUUCGAUGCCCAUCUUUUCAGGGAGAUUUUUUGAAGUACUCAUAGGGGUAAGACCAGAGCCUUUAUGGAAGCUGCUUAGUAAGGUUGGAGUUUUGUACAUGUUGGAGCCGAUUUUUACAGUUAUUUUCGUAAUAAACAUGAGCACCAUAUGGGAGAAGGUUAUGGCAGCCUUAAGAGCUCAUGUCUUUAGAAGGAUAUUGAUUCAGAAGAUGGAGUUUUUUGAUCGACACAAGGUUGGUGAGUUGAAUGGUUUGAUAACGUCUGAUUUGGGUUCUCUCAAAGAUAUUGUUAGUGAAAACAUUUCAAGGGAUCGUGGUUUUAGAGCACUUUCCGAGGUUGUGGGAACAUUAAGCAUACUCUUUGUUCUCUCUCCCCAGCUAGCUCCAAUUCUGGGGCUACUGAUGCUUUCAGUGUCCUUAUUAGUUGCUGUAUACAAACGGUCAACCAUACCUGUCUUCAAAGCUCAUGGAAAGGCACAAGCAUCCAUGUCCGAUUGUGCAACUGAAACAUUUUCAGCUAUUCGUACCGUUAGAUCUUUCGGUGGUGAGAAGCGUCAGAUGGCGAUGUUUGGUAAUCAGGUUCUUGCUUUCCAGACUAGUGGCAUAAGGCUGGGAACUUCCAAAUCUGCAAAUGAAUCCCUGACUAGAGUUGUAGUUUAUAUUUCUUUGAUGGCCUUAUACUGUCUAGGAGGAAGCAAAGUGAAGGCAGGUGAACUCUCUAUUGGAACCGUGGCUUCUUUUAUUGGAUAUACUUUCACAUUAACUUUUGCUGUUCAAGGGUUGGUUAACACAUUUGGUGAUCUUCGUGGAACUCUUGCUGCUAUUGAGCGUAUUAAUUCUGUUCUAUCGGGGACUGAAAUUGAUGAGUCCCUUGCUUGUGGUUUAGAAAGAGAACUCCAAAAGAAAGAAGUGGAUGAUGGCAGUCUCAGAGUAUUCCAAGACAAUGGUUCUGCUGAGAAAAAUCAAGCUCUAAAUAUGCAGUACAUGACAGCCUUGAAAUCAUCUAGUAGUGGGUGUAGUCUAGCUUGGUCUGGUGACAUAUGCUUAGAAGAUGUGUAUUUCUCAUAUCCUUUGAGACGUGACGUGGAAAUCCUGAACGGUCUUAACUUAACAUUAGAAUGUGGGACUGUAACAGCUCUUGUUGGUCCAAGUGGUGCAGGAAAAAGCACAAUUGUACAGCUAUUGGCGCGCUUCUAUGAGCCAACAAGAGGCCGUAUUACGGUGGCAGGAGAGGAUGUUCGAACAUUUGACAAGAGUGAAUGGGCUCGUGUUGUCUCUAUAGUAAAUCAGGAGCCUGUCCUAUUCUCGGUUUCUGUUGGAGAAAAUAUUGCAUAUGGAUUACCGGAUGAUAAUGUUUCCAAGGAUGAUGUGAUUAGAGCAGCCAAAGCUGCAAAUGCUCAUGAAUUCAUAAUUUCUCUUCCACAGGGUUAUGACACACUAGUUGGUGAACGUGGAAGCCUGCUGAGUGGUGGACAGAGGCAGAGGAUUGCUAUUGCCAGGGCUCUGCUAAAAAAUGCUCCAAUUCUGAUUCUUGAUGAGGCUACCAGUGCUUUAGACACAGUAAGUGAGGGCUUGGUCCAGGAAGCUCUUAACCACCUGAUGAAGGGGAGGACCACAUUGGUUAUUGCUCAUAGAUUAAGCACAGUCCAGAAUGCGCACCAAAUUGCUGUUUGUUCGGAUGGGAGGAUUUCAGAGCUAGGGACCCAUUUUGAGUUGUUGGCUCAAAAGGGUCAAUAUGCAUCACUGGUUGGCUCUCAAAGGCUUGCGUUUGAGUGAUUUGGCCAGGAACGAAAGAUAGCAGUUCAUCUUCUCAGCUACUUUGGAGAGAAGAUAUGCUCAAGUAUGCUGUUGUUUGAAAGCAGAAGUCAUGGAGGUUGCUUUAGGGGACUGUUUCGUCUGUUAUAUUUAUGUACAUUAUGACUGUCCCAAGAACCUGCAGUGACGGGAGCCUCGUGCACUGGGUACACCCUUUAUUUAUGUUCAUUUGCAGAUCUUUCUAAUUGUUUUGGGAAAAAAUCAAUUUCAGGUUGCUGCAAGCUGGACGCAUUGCUUGUGUUUUACGGUGGAGGUUUAGUUGCAGAAUUGCAGGAGACAAAUGCCAAUAUGUCAAGGAAAUUUUUUGUUUCUUUAUAAAAGUUUUUGUUGUUAAAAUAAAGAAAACUGAAUGCCAAUUAUUGUCUUUGUCUCUGCAAAACUCAAACAUUAACCUAAUGAAGGUUCUCAAGAUAAUGUUUUGGCUUCC